GCGGGGAUAGCUCAGUUGGGAGAGCGUCAGACUGAAGUGAAGACGUCAGACUUCAUGAAGACUUCAGUUUCUUUCUAAGAUCAUCUGAAGGUCGUGCGUUCGAUCCGCACUCACCGCA